rnacentral:pre_miRNA from 1 species
UGUGAACCGCUCAGUGGCUCGGACCGCCGGCUGUUUCUGCGCACCGGUCCGAACGCUAGGUCGGUUCUCA